UUUUCUGCCACCUCACAGCCUCUUAUGGAAGAGACCUCGCCUUAGUAUUUGAAACCAACCAGUAUCUGACUGAUUUGGGAUUUGUGAAAAACACCCUGGAAGAUUCUGGAAUGAAGCUUCUGUGUGAAGGAUUAAAACAGCCAAACUGUAUCUUAUAGACAUUGAGGUUGUCUGCUAGUUUUCUCCCUGCAAGUUCAGAGACUAUUGGCAGAUAUCUUGCCUCUGUUCUCAUUUGCAAUCCAAACCUCACUGAGCUGGACCUGAGUGAAAAUCCCCUGGGGGACACAGGGGAUAAGUUUCUCUGUGAGGGUCUCAGACAUUUGAACUGUAAGGUGGAGAAACAAGAACUGUGGACUUGUCACCUAACUGGAGAGUGUUGUCGGGAUUCAUGCAAUGCACUGUACACCAAUGAACACCUGAGAGUCCUUGAACUCAGUGACAAUGCCUUAGGGGAUGAAGGCAUGCAGGUGCUCUGUGAAGGGCUGAAACACCCCUCCUGCAAGCUACAGACGUUGGGGUGCAUGCUGUGGAGCCCUCACCUCUGUCCUCAGCAGAAACGAGAACCUAACAUUGCUAGACUUAAGUGGAAAUCACCUUAAGGAUUUUGGAGUUCAAAUGCUGUGUGAUGCACUGCUUCAUGCCAUAUGCAAACUACAAACAUUCUACAUCCUUAUCUAUAAAAUGGGGCCAACAUGAGUAGUACCUGACUACCUGGUGUUAGCACGGAGACUGGAUGAAGCAAGACAUUAAUUAUGAAUAUGCAACCCUGGCACAUAAGAGGCCAACCUUCAAACCCUUAUAACUUGUCAAUCUAUUAUAAGUUGAUAGCAGUGUGCAGUAAUAGCUCAAAAUACAAAAUAAAGGAUACACGUUCACAGAAUAGACACCAUACACUGACCUCAAAUUUUAAACAUCAGAGUCUAAAUAGACAGACAACACUGAAAUCAGUAGAAAUAUAUACUUACCCAAGUAAGGUGAGAGGAAACUGUUGAUCAUUUAAUGUGGUAGGCUAGAUAGGGGAUAAGUCCAGGAGAGCCUCUUAAAAGGGGAGUCCUGUCUGGAAAUGGUAAAGGCUGAAUGAAGAAGUUUGCUUUCUAAGAACUGCUUGAGUGUGAGGUCUGAAUUUAUUUCUCAUUGUAUUUUUCCCUGUAAACUUUUUUAGCUCAGUGCUUUGCAUUUAGUAAAAACAUAUAGGAAGCCAGUUAUUAAUUUUGAGCAUCUGAGGGCAAGGCAAGGAGACAGUUAAUGAUGUGUUCAAUAUAGACUAGGUGUCUAGACAUUCAGAAGAUCGAGGGAAAAAGAGGUUGUGGCCUCAGAGUUACCAUGCUUACCUUCACUCAUUCUGCAAGCAUUUGCUGAGUAUCUAUUAUGUGCUAGGCAAAUGUGCCAGGUGCUAGGAGACAAGAAUGAAUAACUUGAGACUUGAUUUGUACUCUUCUGGGACCGUAGACUUAGUGGUAGAGACAGACACAUGAACUGAUGAAUGCAAUAGGGUAAUUACGAGAUCUUAAGGGAACCGUGGCAGGGGACAACUCACCCAGCUCAGGAGGCUCAGGACUGUAGCCAGGGAAAUGGGGGUAACUAUGGAGAAGAGUAAGUCUAUACUCAGGAGCUAGCAUGAGCAAAAGUAGACAAUAAACAGCAUAUUUUAUAGUACUUGAUAGGAAUACAGGUGGGAAAUGUCUAGGAAGUUAGCUAUUAUGGGAACAUAAAGUGCAAAGCAGAAUGUGUCAAGAAAUGAAACUGAGGGUGUAAGCAAGGCUUUGUAUUCCAUGUGUGAUUAGUAAGAUGUGUUUACAGGAUUCUGGGUACAGAUUCAGCUGUCACUCUUCUUUCUCACAUAUCUGAGUAUAGUACAUUUGAGGGCCUUCCCUCACCUUUCCAAAACUGGUCCCGAAAAUGGAGCCACUUUUGCUCCCAAAGCUGGUUGGAAAAUCAGUCUAAUGCUGGUGCUCUUUCUUACUGCCACGUGGCACUCAUCUUGAGGACUGAUCCUUCCCAAUCCCACAGCAGCUUGGUGACUGUACAGUGAUGCUCUGACUGAUGUCGAUCCCUCCCGGCCCUGCAGUGCCAUUAUAUCUGGACUCCUAGCUUACAUAUAUUUGAGUCUUCACCCAAAUAUGCAGUCAUUGUUCUCUAAAAUACCAUAUGUGUCAGAAGGUCUGGGUGUAGAAGAGCUCCUUGCAUCAGCCACAGGUAUAUAUGUGUGAAGCCAGUUCUUGCCCACAAAAAUGUAAGCCCAUGAGUUGAGGCAGGAGCUCCACUUAAGCCCUCUUCUUUCUUCAAGAUAUUUUAUUUUUGGUGCCUUGGUGCCUUUCCCAGGCACUGGGCCUUGGAUAAAGGCCCCCCAAAUCACCCUGACACAUGUUCUUAAUUCUAAAUUUGGAAAGAAGGGGUUCAGAGUAGGUGGUCUCAUUAGUCUCAGGAGACCUCCAGGCUUCCUAAGCAUAUUGGCCUACCUCUCCUCCAGCAGUGAGUUGUACAUGUCAGGAGGUAAGACAGCUUUUGCUAAGUCAUUCAAAAAAUUCUAAACGUCUUGUUACACUUCCAUGGCAUUAAAUGUUUACUUACCUACAAUUGCAUAACUAGCAGAGCUACUCAUUUGCCUUUGCUAGAUAAAGAUUAGCUUCUAUCCAUUAAAAACUAAAAUCUGUAACUCACUAUACACUUGAAAGUUUAUAUCUUCUUUUACAGUCAGUAGGUCUUAAUCAGGGAUAUACCUGUGGAGUCUGAAUUGCCUGUAGGACAUCGUGGGGAGUUUUCUAGUAGGUAGGCAGUUGGGUAUAGGAUUGUUCCCUGGAGGUGACAGCUGAAGCCAUGGCAGUGGAUGAGAUUCCUCUAGAGACAUUGAGAAGAAAAGCACCGCUGAGAAACAUCCCUGGGGAAUUAGCCCUGGACAGUACCAACUUUUAAGAGCAUUGACACAGAUCAUUUACACAAAGAAACAUUCAGAAAAAUAGAAGCUUUAAAAAUGAGCAAGCCUGGAAUGACCUGGUGGUUUCCAAGGAGAGUCCCUGAAUCAGCUGCAUACAGACCUCCUGGCUCUCUGGCACCGUCUCUAACAGUUGUGCAGUAUUCUUGUUCUGAACCUUUGCUGAGGCUGCUAGUGUGAAACAAGCAGCAGUGAUUGCUAUUUCUUAUACAGAACCAUCCACUAAAUAGAAUGUAAAAGAUGAAAGGAAGCACCUUAGUUGAAAUGUCUUCAGCAAUAAUUCCUUACAUUAAUAUAUUGUGUUACAAUGUUUACUGUUUUUACAAAAAACCUUCUCAGGUGGGAAAAUAAGGCUCAGAGAGGGUGUGAUGAGCUCCAAGUCACACAGCUCAUUAGUUGGAGAGUUGGGACUAGCCUCCAACCAGGAGUCCCAAAACUUAGACCAGACAGGGAAACAAUAGAAAAAAAUAUAUGAAGGAGUCCACCUAAAGAGACAAAAUACCUGAAAUGAUUAAAGGACAAGAGAGUGUACAAACAAACACAUGUUAUAUAUUAUGGUGCUGAUUUUAAGUAAAACUGUAUUUCACAAAAGAAAGUAUGAGGAAUGAGUGGAUUAAUAGGGAAAGGCUUCAGUAAGACUUAAUGUGGGCCUUGAGAAUGAAAGGAUUAAGAUGUGGGGAGAUAUACUGGCCAGCAGCUGUGAGACUGCAGACAAAAGGGCCAUGUUCAUGAGAAGCUCACCAAAAGCACUUAGGAAGAGGGGAAUAUUUGUGUUAGAGUUUCUUGCACUGCCAUGAUAUUCAUAUCUUAGGCUUCUGAAGGUGUUCUCCAGUACCCAGUUUCCAUUCCUCUUCUGAACUUUCAAGACCUACUCCAUGUGUGUGUGCUUCUUCAUGGACUCUUAUGACUGACACCUCUCAUCCCUUAUAACAUAUUCCAUAGCCUAGGAUGGAUCCACAACCACAUGUUUCUAUCUCUGCCUAGCUUCCACAAAACACCAGAUGAGACAAAUGGAGAAAGGGAAUACCAGGCAAGGAAAAUAUCACAGAGUCUGUGAGACUGACAGAAAAGUAGGCUUACCUAAUUAAAGUGUAGAGCUGUCUCUGGAGGCUGCUUGCUAGCUGUGUGACCCUGAAUAAGUCACUGGGAUUCUUGGAGCCUUAAGUUUUCUAAUCUAUAAAAUGGGAGUAGAUUGACAUUAACCUUGCAGGGCUGUUGUUUCCAGCCUGGCGCCUAUCCCACCGUAGGUACUGAUUAAUGGUAGCUGUUUGUAUGAGCCUGUACCUGUAAUAUAGCUGAUAUGUGUAGUCUUUGAGCUCCCAGAUUUUCUUGCUGUGUAGUUAGUGUGAACUGUGCAUUUGAACUAAAUGUGUGUGCUGAACGUGGUAAAUCUAGUGGGGAAAGAGACACACAGUGGAAAGUUAUUGCAGGCAAGAGGUCUAGCUGCUCCAUGUCCUCAUCUAUCAUUGGGUACUGUUCCCUGCUGCCCUCGAAGGUGGUAACUCUCAGUUAGGAGACCUGGUCUGGCCUGAGAUGGUCAAGAUAGCAAUUUGUUUCCAGUUCUCUCAAGUUCUUCCUUCCUUUAGUUGUUUAACACAUUUAUUGAGGAUUUAUUAUGUGCCGGGUUUUUUUUUUUGCUAAGUGUUGGCUUUGCAGAGAUGAAUAUGCCUUUUGCCGUGCACUGUCCCUACCAUGUUCUCUGAUUGCCCUGGUCCCUCUGUCAGUCUGGUGAAUAUCUGAUAAAACUCAGUCACAUUAAGAACUCAAAAAUACAAUGUUAAAUGAAAAAUUUGCACAAUCCUGUGUGUGUGUGCACAUGCACUCACAUGUGUGUAUCCUGUUUAUGUACAAAAAGGAUAAAUAUGCAUGUGUAUGUAUGUGUCCAGAAUGUGUAAGGAAGGAUAUAUAUGAGAAAUUGCUAAUAAGAGUUACUUCUGGCCAGAGGAAGUUGGCAAGCAGGGGCACUGGGAGAACAGGAAAGGAACUUUUCAUUUUCAUCUCUAGCAGUCUGUUUUACUAGAUUUUUACCAUGUACAUGUAUUACUUUUAUAAUUAAUAAACUUGAUGUUAA